rnacentral:rRNA from 1 species
CGCCGCGUGCGGGAUGACGGCCUUCGGGUUGUAAACCGCUUUCGCCUGUGACGAAGCGUGAGUGACGGUAAUGGGUAAAGAAGCACCGGCUAACUACGUGCCAGCAGCCGCGGUGAUACGUAGGGUGCGAGCGUUGUCCGGAUUUAUUGGGCGUAAAGGGCUCGUAGGUGGUUGAUCGCGUCGGAAGUGUAAUCUUGGGGCUUAACCCUGAGCGUGCUUUCGAUACGGGUUGACUUGAGGAAGGUAGGGGAGAAUGGAAUUCCUGGUGGAGCGGUGGAAUGCGCAGAUAUCAGGAGGAACACCAGUGGCGAAGGCGGUUCUCUGGGCCUUUCCUGACGCUGAGGAGCGAAAGCGUGGGGAGCGAACAGGCUUAGAUACCCUGGUAGUCCACGCUGUAAACGGUGGGUACUAGGUGUGGGGUCCAUUCCACGGGUUCCGCGCCGUAGCUAACGCUUUAAGUACCCCGCCUGGGGAGUACGGCCGCAAGGCUAAAACUCAAAGGAAUU